rnacentral:rRNA from 1 species
AUUGAACGCUGGCGGCAGGCUUAACACAUGCAAGUCGAGCGGAGAUGAGGUGCUUGCACCUUAUCUUAGCGGCGGACGGGUGAGUAAUGCUUAGGAAUCUGCCUAUUAGUGGGGGACAACAUUCCGAAAGGAAUGCUAAUACCGCAUACGCCCUACGGGGGAACGCAGGGGAUCUUCGGACCUUGCGCUAAUAGAUGAGCCUAAGUCGGAUUAGCUAGUUGGUGGGGUAAAGGCCUACCAAGGCGACGAUCUGUAGCGGGUCUGAGAGGAUGAUCCGCCACACUGGGACUGAGACACGGCCCAGACUCCUACGGGAGGCAGUAGUGGGGAAUAUUGGACAAUGGGCGGAAGCCUGAUCCAGCCAUGCCGCGUGUGUGAAGAAGGCCUUUUGGUUGUAAAGCACUUUAAGCGAGGAGGAGGCUACCUGGAUUAAUACUCUAGGAUAGUGGACGUUACUCGCAGAAUAAGCACCGGCUAACUCUGUGCCAGCCGCCGCCGUAAGAC